rnacentral:lncRNA from 1 species
UUGGUCGGUGUUUGAAAUUAGCUUGGGGCUGAAAGAUGUCAUGCUAGCUCUUGAUGAUGGUGAAGAUGAGAUGACUGUAUAUUUUCUUUUCACCAUUUUUCGCAGGUCAUUUCGAAUUUCAUAAAAUCGUUUGAUUCAUUCCAUGACAUGAUAGAUGCAGUUGAAUGCAUUGAAGCCAUUAUCAAACUUUCGAUUGAAAUGUGUAAAAGUGUC